rnacentral:tRNA from 1 species
GGGCGAGUACCCAAGUGGACAACGGGGGCAGACUGUAAAUCUGCUGGCAUAGCCUUCGGGGGUUCGAAUCCCUCCUCGCCCA